CUCUCCUAUAUAAAGAUAGAAAGCGCGGCGAGAGCUCGCGCCGCCGCCGCUAUCGCAUCAGAAGCCUCUCUUCCCGAACCCCGUCCGAGAGGGCGAGAGCGAGAGCAGUCGCUCCGGCGAGAGAGGAAGGCAGCCGUCCCGCCCCGAUGAGGGCCAAGUGGAAGAAGAAGCGGAUGAGGCGGCUCAAGAGGAAGCGCCGAAAGAUGAGGCAGAGAUCCAAGUAGGCAGAUCCAUGGAGUGUCCGCCUGGAGUCCUUGUGUUCGGUUGCUGUUUACCGAAUAAUUUUAGUUUUCUUUAGUAACAGAGUCUGUAAUGUAUCUGAAGGUCUUUACAAUCAUCGUCUGUCCGUGAUCUGUAAUGAAGCCUACCGUCAUCUGAAUAUUGUUCCGAAACAUUUUUUUCUCCAUAUAGAACCAUUAUUGAAUCAUCCGAAUACGGUUCCGAAA